UACAGAGGUCUCAAGCGUUGUUCGGAUUCAUUGGGCGUAAAGGGUGCGUAGGCGGCGCGGUAAGUCGGGUGUGAAAUCUCGGGGCUUAACUCCGAAACUGCAUUCGAUACUGCCGUGCUUGAGGACUGGAGAGGAGACUGGAAUUCACGGUGUAGCGGUGAAAUGCGUAGAUAUCGUAAGGAAGACCAGUGGCGAAGGCGGGUCUCUGGACAGUUCCUGACGCUGAGGCACGAAGGCCAGGGGAGCAAACGGG
rnacentral:rRNA from 1 species